ensembl:lncRNA
AGUAAAAGUUAAAGGACUGCUGUUGCACCAACCACACCUAUAACUUAACCUGUCUUGCAACUAUGAAAUGGGAACAUGACCAAACAUAGAGGCUGGUGUGAGGUAUCUAAACACGCCCCAAUACCUUGUUUACUUCAGUGCUCUAUAAAUGCACUGUCAAGAGCCAUUACAGUCAGGAGUCACAUCUUUCGUUUUGCUUCAGGCAAAGUAAUUUACUCAACUUGAGUCAAAACACAAGAUGAGUGGACACGGCCACGGUCAGAAGGGACACGCUGGAGAGCAUGGAGGAGAGCAUGGAGGAGAGCAUGGAGGAGAGCAUGGAGGAGAGCAUGGAGGAGAGCAUGGAGGCAAGGGAGAAAAGGGCAAAGGAGGAGAGGUAGAAUUAUUUGUCUUGAUUCAUAAUUUCAUAAUUGAUAAUCGUUUGAACGCUCACUUUAUUGUGAUGGUUGUGUGCAGGGAUGCCAUGGAAAGGCUGAUGAGAUGAAAGGCCACGGCCAUGGAGGCAAAGGCCAAGGACACGAGCACGGGAAGGGACACAACAAAGACUGAAACAGGACAAUGCCAUGUCCAUCUAUCUGCUGUAUACAAGAAUGUUGAUAUAUGAAAUGUAAACUGCAAAAAUUAAAUAAAAUGUCUUGACACU